AUGUUGUUUUCGAAACAGUGGCGUCGCGGGAAUCCCGGGGGCGAACGAGCUUCUCUUGAAGUCCCUAGAACGACCCCUUCCAGCCAUCAUCACGCAACAACAACGACGACGACGACGACGGGCCUGUCCCUUUAAGACCCUUUCGGGCCCGCAGCCCAGGCGAGCCGGCCCGGGCCUCGCCCUGUGAGCCGCCCGAAGCUUCUUCCCCGCUGCUGGUUUGUUUUCCUGCCGCCGCAAAAAUGAGUUUUUAAUUCGUGGUUCCUCGCCCAGCCCGCGACUUUUUUCCGAGUUGCGCCAGAGAUUCCCGAGAGAAGCCCCUUGGUCUCCCCUGGAGGAAAUUUGGAAAUCGUCGUUUUCCUGGAAGCAAAGGGAAAAGAAAAAACAGAUUCUCUCUGCAUUCCACUCCGGGAGCCUCCAAGCACACAGCUGGGUUGGGAGCUCGCAAAGAAAAUGGAGCAUGAAAUGGAGGCCGUGGCGGAAGGAGGGACGGUAAUGUGCGGUGAUCCGGACUCUGACACCAGAACCGCCGGAGCGCAGGUUCAGCCAUGUUCUCAGGAUGACCUCAGUGUCCUCCGAAACCAGGGCGCUUGUUUGCGUUCACGGCAGAAAA